UACGUAGGGGGCUAGCGUUGUCCGGAAUCAUUGGGCGUAAAGAGCGUGUAGGCGGUCCGGUAAGUCCGCUGUGAAAGUCGGGGGCUCAACCCUCGAAUGCCGGUGGAUACUGUCGGGCUAGAGUGCGGAAGAGGCGAGUGGAAUUCCUGGUGUAGCGGUGAAAUGCGCAGAUAUCAGGAGGAACACCGGUGGCGAAGGCGGGUCUCUGGGCAAUAACUGACGCUGAGGAGCGAAAGCGUGGGGAGCGAACAGG
rnacentral:rRNA from 1 species